rnacentral:tRNA from 1 species
UACUUAGUAGUUAACUUCUAUAACACUUAUUUUGUAAAUAAGAGUCGUCAGUAUGACCUGAGUAG